UCAUUAGUGAAUAUAGGACGUCCAACUUAACUUGGAGUCCGAACUCUCACUUUCUAACCCUGUGCACUUGUUUGGGAUAGUAACUCUCGCAAGAGAGCGAACUCCUAUUCACUUAUAAACACAAAGUCUAUGAAUGUAUUAAAUUUUAUAACAAAAUAAAACUUUCAACAACGGAUCUCUUGGCUCUCGCAUCGAUGAAGAACGCAGCGAAAUGCGAUAAGUAAUGUGAAUUGCAGAAUUCAGUGAAUCAUCGAAUCUUUGAACGCACCUUGCGCUCCAUGGUAUUCCGUGGAGCAUGCCUGUUUGAGUGUCAUGAAUACUUCAACCCUCCUCUUUCUUAAUGAUUGAAGAGGUGUUUGGUUUCUGAGCGCUGCUGGCCUUUACGGUCUAGCUCGUUCGUAAUGCAUUAGCAUCCGCAAUCGAACUUCGGAUUGACUUGGCGUAAUAGACUAUUCGCUGAGGAAUUCUAGUCUUCGGAUUAGAGCCGGGUUGGGUUAAAGGAAGCUUCUAAUCAGAAUGUCUACAUUUUAAGAUUAGAUCUCAAAUCAGGUAGGACUACCCGCUGAACUUAAGCAUAUCAAUAAGCGGAGGAAAAGAAACUAACAAGGAUUCCCCUAGUAGCGGCGAGCGAAGCGGGAAGAGCUCAAAUUUAUAAUCUGGCACCUUCGGUGUCCGAGUUGUAAUCUCUAGAAAUGUUUUCCGCGUUGGACCGCACACAAGUCUGUUGGAAUACAGCGGCAUAGUGGUGAGACCCCCGUAUAUGGUGCGGACGCCCAGCGCUUUGUGAUACAUUUUCGAAGAGUCGAGUUGUUUGGGAAUGCAGCUCAAAUUGGGUGGUAAAUUCCAUCUAAAGCUAAAUAUUGGCGAGAGACCGAUAGCGAACAAGUACCGUGAGGGAAAGAUGAAAAGCACUUUGGAAAGAGAGUUAACAGUACGUGAAAUUGUUGGAAGGGAAACGCUUGAAGUCAGACUUGCUUGCCGAGCAAUCGGUUUGCAGGCCAGCAUCAGUUUUCCGGGAUGGAUAAUGGUAGAGAGAAGGUAGCAGUUUCGGCUGUGUUAUAGCUCUCUGCUGGAUACAUCUUGGGGGACUGAGGAACGCAGUGUGCCUUUGGCGGGGGUUUCGACCUCUUCACACUUA
rnacentral:rRNA from 1 species